UAGUCGGUGUGGUGUCCAACUCGUAGUACUCGUGUUCGGUUCUCUGGCGACUGCACUUGUCCCCAUCUGUGGCCGAAAGAGAAGUCGGAAUGGCCGGGGUUAUCAAGAUGUAAGCUGAUCAGAUACGGCUACUUAUAGAGUGCCGGACUCACCUAUUUGAAAUAAUGUCCAGUUACAGAGGAUUUGCUAUUCUGGUAAUCAUAGUUCUCUCAGGAUAUUUACACUGGAUACCGAUAUCUGGGGAUUUAGUUACUUAUCGCUGUGAACAUUAAACGGAUACUGAACUCAUGGCGGAUCCGACGCUCUCUUCACACUUCACUUAAAGUGCCAAAAACUCUAGUAGUUUCGACACACACUCAUACAUACAUGUCGCCAACCGACAGCCAGAUGUGGUAUAUAUAUUAAGCAAAUACGUAUGCUAAUAAACAAUGUAUCAAAAGAACUGAGAGCUACUAGGAGCUGCGAACUGGGGAACCUGCGAAUAAAGCCCGUGCUGUUUGCCCAACCAAUUUAGCGCUUGUUGCAAAAUGUAAGCCGUUUUUGAAACUGAAGUCGCGCGCGCCGCUUGAUCCGGAUUGAGAUACUCGAUUGGGCCGAUUCGCGGACUCCGAGAUCGUCAUUUCACGGAGCUCGGAUGUCGUCGGCUUUGUGAGGCAGUAACGAGCACGGAAAUUUUCAUAUCGGCACGCUGCGCAUGAUCAAUUGAUUUGCAACUCUUUGCUUAGUUUGGCUA